AUUAACGCGAAGAACCUUACCAAGGCUUGACAUACACCGGAAAACCCUGGAGACAGGGUCCCCCUUGUGGUCGGUGUACAGGUGGUGCAUGGCUGUCGUCAGCUCGUGUCGUGAGAUGUUGGAUUAAGUCCCGCAACGAGCGCAACCCUCGUUCUGUGUUGCCAGCAUGCCCUUCGGGGUGAUGGGGACUCACAGGAGACUGCCGGGGUCAACUCGGAGGAAGGUGGGGACGACGUCAAGUCAUCGUGCCCCUUAUGUCUUGGGCUGCACACGUGCUACAAUGGCCGGUACAAUGAGCUGCGAUACCGCGAGGCGGAGCGAAUCUCAAAAAGCCGGUCUCAGUUCGGAUUGGGGUCUGCAACUCGACCCCAUGAAGUCGGAGUUGCUAGUAAUCGCAGAUCAGCAUUGCUGCGGUGAAUACGUUCCCGGGCCUUGUACACACCGAAU
rnacentral:rRNA from 1 species